rnacentral:rRNA from 1 species
AUUGAACGCUGGCGGCAUGCCUUACACAUGCAAGUCGAACGGUAACAGGUUAAGCUGACGAGUGGCGAACGGGUGAGUAAUACAUCGGAACGUGCCCAGUAGUGGGGGAUAGCCCGGCGAAAGCCGGAUUAAUACCGCAUACGACCUAAGGGUGAAAGGGGGGGAUCGCAAGACCUCUCGCUAUUGGAGCGGCCGAUGCCAGAUUAGCUAGUUGGUGGGGUAAAAGCUCACCAAGGCGACGAUCUGUAGCUGGUCUGAGAGGACGACCAGCCACACUGGGACUGAGACACGGCCCAGACUCCUACGGGGGGCAGCAGUGGGGAAUUUUGGACAAUGGGCGCAAGCCUGAUCCAGCCAUGCCGCGUGCGGGAAGAAGGCCUUCGGGUUGUAAACCGCUUUUGUCAGGGAAGAAAUCCUUUGGGUUAAUACCUCGGGGGGAUGACGGUACCUGAAGAAUAAGCACCGGCUAACUACGU